UUUUUUAAGAUUUUAAGGAAAUUUUAAUUAACGUAAACUAUUAUUGGGGGUAAUAUUAUCUUUUUAAAGUCAACAGUUAGUUAAUGAAAAUUUUAACUAACGGUAAGUGGUCUUUUACAAAUAAAAUAAUUUUUACCAUCUACUUGCAACAACCUCAAACUUCAAGAAAUACUUUUAAAAAUUAACCUUUAGAUUUUUAUUGUAUAUUUAUACACUGAUUUUUUAUUGUAUUGUGUACAAUAUUGAAAAGAAUGUAUAAUUAUAUAAUUAUAUAAUCGCGGUGGCGGUUUUGCCCUUUCCAGAUUGAAAGGGUUUUGUCGUUCGUCGAGUAAUUUCGGCUUUAUUGACAGAUUUGCAAUAACGGGGCUCGAUGAUGUGAAGUGAUUAUCUGAAGAAGAUCAUAAAUCAUUAUUACAUUAGCCAGUUGGUUGGUACGUAGCCCAUUGGCACCACCCAAGCACUCAGGUACAUUCCAGAGGAUGGCAAUGGGAUUGGCUCCGAUUAGUUAUUAUUAUUGGGACUCAUUUUAUUUUAUUUUUUAAUUGAAUUGAAUAAAGAAAAAAGAUUGAGUAAAAUAGAUAUCUUAUGGUGUUAAGAGCAUUAUUAAAAGAUUUAUUGAUUUUUCUUAAAAAAUCUUUAUUUGUGUGAUAAAUGAAAGUGUGAAUAAAUAAAUUUUCUCUCAAGAGCUCUAU
rnacentral:lncRNA from 1 species